GACGUAGGGCGCGAGCGUUGUCCGGAUUUAUUGGGCGUAAAGAGCUUGUAGGCGGUUUGUCGCGUCUGCUGUGAAAUCCUGGGGCUCAACCUCAGAAUUGCCUCCGAUACUGGCAGUCUCGAGUGCGGGAGAGGUGAGUGGAAUUCCCAGUGUAGAGGUGAAAUUCGUAGAUAUUGGGAAGAACACCAGUGGCGAAGGCGGCUCACUGGCCCGUAACUGACGCUGAGGUGAGAAAGCGUGGGGAGCAAACAGG
rnacentral:rRNA from 1 species